GCAGUUGACGAUAAUUUUUCGUAGCAAACGGGNGAGUAAUUUAUAAAGAUAUNNACCUUUUAGUCUUGAAUAAAACAUAUUUAAUUAAAAAAAAAUCUUUAAUGUAUUUGUGUUAACACGGGAUAAAACAAAAAAAAUUAAAAUAUAAAAAUAUAAGUAUUUUAAUUUGCUAAAAGAUAAUUUUAUAAAAAAUUAGGUUGUUGGUAAUUUAAUGAAAAGCAUACCAAGCCUACGAUUUUUAGUUGGUCUGAGAGGACGGUCAACCACACUGGAACUGAGAAAAGGUCCAGGCUAAAUUUUUGGCCAGCAGUGAGGAAUAUUGGACAAUGAACGAAAGUUUGAUCCAGCAAUACUAUAUGAAUGAUGACGGCUAAUUUUUAAAGUUUCUUGUACACCCACCGCAAGAAACUUGGGUUGUAAAAUUCUUUCGUUAAAAAAGAUAAUGACAUUAUUUAAAGAAAUUUUAGUCCCGGCUAAUCUCGUGCCAGCAGCCGCGGUAAUACGGGAGGGGCAAGCGUUAUCCGAAAUAACUGGGCGUAAAGGGUUCGUAGAUUGUAUCGUAAGUUAAUUGUUAAAUCCUAAAGCUUAACUUUAGAAAAGCAUUUAAAACUGCAUUACUUUUGAGUUUUAUACAGAAGAGUUGAAUUUCAUGUUGAGGAAUAACCUCCAA
rnacentral:rRNA from 1 species